rnacentral:rRNA from 1 species
AAAUUCGGAUUAAUACCCCAUAAUGAUAUCGAGAGGCAUCUUUUGAUAUUUAAAGUUUCGACGGUACGGGAUGGGCAUGCGUGACAUUAGCUAGUUGGUAGGGUAACGGCCUACCAAGGCUACGAUGUCUAGGGGUCCUGAGAGGGUGAUCCCCCACACUGGUACUGAGACACGGACCAGACUCCUACGGGAGGCAGCAGUGAGGAAUAUUGGUCAAUGGGCGUAAGCCUGAACCAGCCAUCCCGCGUGCAGGAAGAAGGCGCUAUGCGUCGUAAACUGCUUUUCCAGGGGAAGAAAACCCGAUACGUGUAUCGGCUUGCCGGUACCCUGGGAAUAAGCAUCGGCUAACUCCGUGCCAGCAGCCGCGGUAAUACGGAGGAUGCGAGCGUUAUCCGGAUUUAUUGGGUUUAAAGGGUGCGUAGGCGGAUUAAUAAGUCAGUGGUGAAAACCUUCAGCUUAACUGGAGACUUGCCAUUGAUACUGUUAGUCUUGAGUACGGUCAAGGUAGGCGGAAUGUGUAAUGUAGCGGUGAAAUGCUUAGAUAUUACACAGAACACCGAUUGCGAAGGCAGCUUACUGGGCCAUUACUGACGCUGAUGCACGAAAGCGUGGGGAGCGAACAGGAUUAGAUACCCUGGUAGUCCACGCCGUAAACGAUGAUCACUCGCUGUUAGCGAUACACAGUUAGCGG